GAUGAACGCUGGCGGCGUGCCUAAUACAUGCAAGUCGAGCGAACAGACGAGGAGCUUGCUCCUCUGACGUUAGCGGCGGACGGGUGAGUAACACGUGGAUAACCUACCUAUAAGACUGGGAUAGCUUCGGGAAACCGGAGCUAAUACCGGAUAAUAUAUUGAACCGCAUGGUUCAAUAGUGAAAGACGGUUUUGCUGUCACUUAUAGAUUGAUCCGCGCCGCAUUAGCUAGUUGGUAAGGUAACGGCUUACCAAGGCAACGAUGCGUAGCCGACCUGAGAGGGUGAUCGGCCACACUGGAACUGAGACACGGUCCAGACUCCUACGGGAGGCAGCAGUAGGGAAUCUUCCGCAAUGGGCGAAAGCUUGACGGAGCAACGCCGCGUGAGUGAUGAAGGUCUUCGGAUCGUAAAACUCUGUUAUUAGGGAAGAACAAAUGUGUAAGUAACUAUGCACGUCUUGACGGUACCUAAUCAGAAAGCCACGGCUAACUACGUG
rnacentral:rRNA from 1 species